CAAUAGCGUAUAUUAAAGUUGUUGCAGUUAAAAGCUCGUAGUUGGAUUUCUGGUUGGAGCGACCGGUCGGGCAUUGAUUUGUCUGCACUGGAGUCGGUUCCGUCCAUCCUCUCGGAAAGUGCGUAUGGCAUUAAGUUGUCGUGCGUAUGAUCCGGGUCUUUUACUGUGAAAAAUUAGAGUGUUUAAAGCAGGCCUUCGCCUUGAAUACAUUAGCAUGGAAUAAUAAGAUAGGACUUGGGUCUAUUUUGUUGGUUUGCAGACCGAAGUAAUGAUUAAUAGGGAUAGUUGGGGUAUUUAUAUUCCGAUGGUCAGAGGUGAAAUUCUUAGAUUUUCGGAAGAUAAAUCUUAUGCGAAAGCAUU
rnacentral:rRNA from 1 species